rnacentral:rRNA from 1 species
UCGAGAAUCAUUCACAAUGGGCGAAAGCCUGAUGGUGUGACGCCGCGUGGAGGAUGACGGUCUUCGGAUUGUAAACUCCUGUCAUGUGAGAGUAAGAACCAGGGAGUAACUGCCUGUGGUUUUGAGAGUAUCACAAGAGGAAGAGGCGGCUAACUCUGUGCCAGCAGCCGCGGUAAUACAGAGGCCUCAAGCGUUGUUCGGAAUCACUGGGCGUAAAGGGUGCGUAGGCGGCGCGGAAAGUCAGGGGUGAAAUCCCGGAGCUCAACUCCGGAACUGCCUUUGAUACUCCCGCGCUUGAGAACUGGAGGGGACAUCGGAAUUCACGGUGGAGCAGUGAAAUGCGUGGAUAUCGUGAGGAACACUAGUGGCGAAGGCGGAUGUCUGGACAGUAUCUGACGCUGAGGCACGAAGGCCAGGGGAGCGAACGGG